UGGUGGAGUGAUUUGUCUGGUUAAUUCCGUUAACGAACGAGACCUCGACCUGCUAAAUAGUCCGGCUAACCCUUGGUUGGUCUGGUACUUCUUAGAGGGACUAUCGGUGCUUUAGCCGGUGGAAGUCCGAGGCAAUAACA
rnacentral:rRNA from 1 species